AUUAACUGAAGUACCUACAAACAUCCCCACAAAUACAUGUGUCUUAUCCCUAGGUGUCAACCAGAUAACCACCAUUCCAGACAAUGCCUUUAAUGGAUUGCCAAAUUUACAGACACUGUACAUCUAUGGAAAUCAAAUAACUGUAUUAGACAAAAGAUUUUUCAAAGAUCUUCCAAAAUUAGAAGUAUU